GGAGAGAUGGUUGAGUGGAAUAAAGUGUCGAAUUGCUAAUCCGUUGUACAAAUUUUUGUACCGAAGGUUCGAAUCCCUCUUUUUCCU
rfam:Glycine soja cultivar W05 scaffold1642_1, whole genome shotgun sequence.